rnacentral:rRNA from 1 species
UACAGAGGGUGCGAGCGUUAAUCGGAAUUACUGGGCGUAAAGCGUACGUAGGUGGUUGGAUAAGUCAGGUGUGAAAUCCCCAAGCUUAACUUGGGAAUUGCGUUUGAUACUGUCUGACUUGAGUUUGGUAGAGGGAGGUGAAAUUCCAGGUGUAGCGGUGAAACGCGUAGAGAUCUGGAGGAACACCAGUGGCGAAGGCGGCCUCCUGGACUGAAACUGACACUGAGGUACGAAAGCGUGGGGAGCAAACAGG